rnacentral:rRNA from 1 species
AGCAGCCGCGGUAAUUCCAGCUCCAAUAGCGUAUAUUAAAGUUGUUGCAGUUAAAAAGCUCGUAGUUGAAUUUCGGGGUUAGUAGGUUGGUCGUGCCACUGGUAUGCACUGAUCUUACUGAUUCCUCCUUCCUGAUGAACCGUAAUGCCAUUAAUUUGGUGUUGCGGGGAAACUGGACUGUUACUUUGAAAAAUUAGAGUGUUUAAAGCAAGCUAACGCUUGAAUACAUUAGCAUGGAAUAAUGAAAUAGGACGAUUGAUCCUAUUUUGUUGGUUUCUAGGAUUGACGUAAUGAUUAAUAGGGAUAGUUGGGGGCAUUAGUAUUCAAUUGUCAGAGGUGAAAUUCUUGGAUUUAUUGAAGACUAACUACUGCGAAAGCAUUUGCCAAGGAUGUUUUCAUUAAUCAAGAACGAAAGUUAGGGGAUCGAAGACGAUCAGAUACCGUCGUAGUCUUAACCAUAAACUAUGCCGACUAGGGAUCGGAUGAUGUUAAUUUUUAAUGUACUCAUUCGG